ACUGAACAAGACAAACCAUUAAAACACAGUUUUGUUUUUUUUUGUUUUUUUUUGUUAGACAGCACCUGAAACGUAUUCAUCAGAAGGACUCAAGGUGGCGUUAGAACCAGACUCAUAAUCCUGGCUCAAGUUGGCGUUAGCAGAACCAGACUCAGCAUCCUGGCUCAAGGUGGCGUUAGCAGAACCAGACUCGGCAUCCUGGCUCAAGGUGGCGUUA